GUGGGGAAUAUUGGGCAAUGGGGGAAACCCUGACCCAGCAACGCCGCGUGAAGGAAGAAGGUUUUCGGAUCGUAAACUUCUAUCCUUGGUGAAGAUAAUGACGGUAGCCAAGAAGGAAGCCCCGGCUAACUACGUGCCAGCAGCCGCGGUAAUACGUAGGGGGCAAGCGUUGUCCGGAAUGAUUGGGCGUAAAGGGCGCGUAGGCGGCCUGGUAAGUCUGGAGUGAAAGUCCUGCUUUUAAGGUGGGAAUUGCUUUGGAUACUGUCGGGCUUGAGUGCAGGAGAGGUAAGCGGAAUUCCAGGUGUAGCGGUGAAAUGCGUAGAGAUCGGGAGGAACACCAGUGGCGAAGGCGGCUUACUGGACUGUAACUGACGCUGAGGCGCGAAAGUGUGGGGAGCAAACAGGAUUAGAUACCCCGGUAGUCC
rnacentral:rRNA from 1 species